ensembl:lncRNA MIR4432HG MIR4432 host gene
GCUUUCUUUCCUGGCUUAGGCUGGGAGGCACAGCGCCCGUGUGCUGGAGGCGAGUUGGCUCCGGGUGGGGGAGGCUGGGGUUCCAAACCAGGGCAGGGGAAUGGUGGCCCUGCGUGGCUCGUGGACCUCUCUCAGGGACCCCUCUCAGCAGGGGCCGGAAAAGCAGGCCCACACCCAGUGGUCAUUGCAGGAACUUCACUUGAGCUGGUCUGCUUGUGAGCCUGUGGUUUGGAGAGGAGAAGACGCACUUCCCCAUGAGAAAAAGAUAGAGUUUCACUCUUGUCUCCCAGGCUGGAGUGCAAUGGCGUAAUCUUGGCUCACUGCAACCUCUGCCUGCUGGGUUCAAAUGAUUCUCCUGCCUCAGCCUCCCAAGUAGCUGGAAUUACAGGUGCUGACGAGGACUUUCACCUGGGAGAAGAGCUCAUUCUUCCUAUCGUUUCCCUGGGAAGAACAUGGCUGAAACAACUUACUGUACAGACCACAGAAGUGAGACCAAAAACACUGAGAUGAGGAAGAGGUGUGGCAAAAUGGCUUUGUUGUGGUGGAAGAUGAAUUGUCGUCUCAAGGGGGCAGAGGACUGCCUGUGAGCUUCCUUAACAUGGAGCCCGAAACCGGUGUUUGCACAGUCCUUGAGGAAAGGGUUUGCUCAGCAAAUUAACAGUGUGAACAAGACUGCAGGAGGGACCAUUUACCUACCUGAGAACAAACUGUUUUCUAGCUCUUCAGCAGCACCACUUACGCACAAUUUUCAUGUGCUAAUGGCAAGUGAUUAUUACCUAGUUAGUGAAUAUACGUGGAAGACAUAAAAUAGCCUUUACUAUCCCCUGGUUGAGACAACUCGCUAACUCAGACUUGCCAGGUGCUCUGAAUUAGAGAGGUGCUACAGGAAUGUCCUCUCGGAUUUUUGGCGUUGAGCAUGCAUGCAUGUGAGCAGGGUGCCAUUUCUUCAGAAGAAAAAUAAAUGACAACAUUCUGUUUUGGGGCUUGAAACUGCAUGACUGAAAACAUAAAGGUGACAACUGUGAUAUGCUUUUUUAAUGAGGGCAGAGAUGUCAAGAGAAACCAGCCUUCUAGGAACAAAAGAAUACUCUGUCAGGUGCAGUGGACUUAAGACCUUUUUCUCUCUUGGAAUAAUGUCCUUAAAAAUAACCAAAUUUUCCAUUCAAUAGAAAAAUGUUCAUCCCUUCCUCCCCAUCAAUAUGAAUUGUUGUCUUGGAGCAUGGGGCACUAGCAAGCCAUAUUGAUUUUGGAAAUUAAAAUGGGAAUGUUGAA